rnacentral:rRNA from 1 species
ACGGGUGAGUAACACGUAGGUAACCUGCCUAUGAGACUGGGAUAACUAUCGGAAACGAUAGCUAAGACCGGAUAACUGGUUUUCUCGCAUGAGAGAAUCAUGAAACACGGAGCAAUCUGUGGCUUAUAGAUGGGCCUGCGGCGCAUUAGCUAGUUGGUAGGGUAAUGGCCUACCAAGGCGACGAUGCGUAGCCGACCUGAGAGGGUGAACGGCCACACUGGGACUGAGACACGGCCCAGACUCCUACGGGAGGCAGCAGUAGGGAAUCUUCCGCAGUGGACGCAAGUCUGACGGAGCAACGCCGCGUGAGUGAUGAAGGUUUUCGGAUCGUAAAGCUCUGUUGCCCUAGACGAACAGCAUGAGGAGUAACUGCCUUGUGUGUGACGGUAUAGGAGAAGAAAGCCCCGGCUAACUACGUGCCAGCAGCCGCGGUAAUACGUAGGGGGCAAGCGUUGUCCGGAAUUAUUGGGCGUAAAGCGCGCGCAGGCGGUCAAUUAAGUUGGGUGUUUAAGCCCGGGGCUCAACCCCGGUUCGCAUCCAAAACUGGUUGACUUGAGUGUAGGAGAGGAAAGUGGAAUUCCACGUGUA